rnacentral:rRNA from 1 species
AAAAAAGUAGCGAAGUUGGCGAUUCCGGCUGUCGAGAAAAGCCGCUAUUGUGUGAUACAUGCCCGUACCGUAAACCGACACAGGUGGAUGAGGAGAGAAUCCUAAGGCCGGCGGGAGAAGCAUUGUUAAGGAACUCGGCAAAAUGACCCUGUAACUUCGGGAUAAAGGGUGCCUGCGCAAGCAGGCCGCAUAGAAUAGGCUCAAGCAACUGUUUAGCAAAAACACAGGUCUAUGCAAAACCGAAAGGUGAGGUAUAUGGGCUGACGCCUGCCCGGUGCUGGAAGGUUACGAGGAGAGGUUAGCGCAAGCGAAGCUUUGAAUCCAAGCCCCAGUAAACGGCGGCCGUAACUAUAACGGUCCUAAGGUAGCGAAAUUCCUUGUCGGGUAAGUUCCGACCCGCACGAAAGGCGUAAUGAUUUGAGCGCUGUCUCGACAAUGCACCCGGUGAAAUUGAAGUACCAGUGAAGAUGCUGGUUACCUGCGCCAGGACGGAAAGACCCCAUGGAGCUUUACUCUAGUUUGAUACUGGGAUUCGGUAAUGCAUGUACAGGAUAGGUGGGAGGCUGAGAGAGGAGAACGCCAGUUUUCCUGGAGCCGGUGUUGGGAUACCACCCUUGCGUUACUGGGUUUCUAACCUGCAGCCGUGACCCGGCUGGGGGACAAUGUCAGACGGGGAGUUUGACUGGGGCGGUCGCCUCCGAAAGGGUAUCGGAGGCGCUCAAAGGUUCCCUCAGGAUGGUUGGAAACCAUCCAAAGAGUGCAAAGGUAGAAGGGAGCUUGACUGCGAGAGCGACGGUUCGAGCAGGUACGAAAGUAGGACUUAGUGAUCCGGUGGCAUAAAGUGGGAUUGCCAUCGUUCAACGGAUAAAAGCUACCCUGGAUAACAGGCUUAUCACUCCCAAGAGUUCACAUCGACGGAGUGGUUUGGCACCUCGAUGUCGGCUCAUCGCAUCCUGGGGCUGAAGUAGGUCCCAAGGGUUGGGCUGUUCGCCCAUUAAAGCGGUACGCGAGCUGGGUUCAGAACGUCGUGAGACAGUUCGGUCCCUAUCCGGCGUGGGCGUAGGAUAUUUGAGAGGAGCUGUCCUUAGUACGAGAGGACCGGGAUGGACUGACCUCUGGUGUAUCGGUUGAGUAUCAGACUCAUGGCCGAGUAGCCAAGUCGGGACGGGAUAAACGCUGAAGGCAUCUAAGCGUGAAGCCCCCCUCAAGAUGAGAUAUCCCAUACGCAAGUAGUAAGACCCCUUGAAGACGACGAGGUAGAUAGGGCAGAGGUGGAAGCGCGGUAACGCGUGGAGCUGACUGUCACUAAUAGGUCGAGGGCUUGACC